rnacentral:rRNA from 1 species
CCUACGGGGGGCUGCAGUGAGGAAUAUUGGUCAAUGGGCGCUAGCCUGAACCAGCCAAGUAGCGUGCAGGAUGACUGCUCUAUGGGUUGUAAACUUCUUUUAUAUGGGAAUAAAGUUCAGUAUGUAUACUGCUUUGCAUGUACCUUAUGAAUAAGGAUCGGCUAACUCCGUGCCAGCAGCCGCGGUAAUACGGAGGAUCCGAGCGUUAUCCGGAUUUAUUGGGUUUAAAGGGAGCGUAGGCGGGUUGUUAAGUCAGUUGUGAAAGGUUGGGGCUCAACCGUAAAAUUGCAGUUGAUACUGUCAUCCUAGAGAACAGUAGAGGUAGGCGGAAUGCAUGGUGUAGCGGUGAAAUGCUUAGAGAUCACGAAGAACACCGAUUGCGAAGGCAGCCUGCUGGACUGUAACUGACGCUGAGGCUCGAAAGCGUGGGUAUCAAACAGGAUUAGAUACCCCAGUAGUC